rnacentral:misc_RNA from 1 species
GGGAUGAACUAUCAUGGCGGAGGAGAAACAAGUUAAUGCCAUGUUUCGUAGGCAUGAACAAUUAAAGCGGUGGGAGGAUUCUGAGACAAACAGAGAGCCAGGUUCACCUAAAUUAAAACCUAGAAAAGUUCAAUUUCAAGAUGGAUGUAUAUUUCUGGCAGCCUGUUCGAGUGGGGACCGAGAAGAAGUCACUAGACUUCUGGAGAGGGGGGCCGACAUCAACACAGCGAAUGUCGACGGUCUGACAGCCCUCCAUCAGGCGUGUAUCGAUGACAACCUGGAAAUGGUGGAGUUCCUUGUUGAGAAGGUGGCAGAUGUGGAUGUCUGUGACAAUGAAGGCUGGACACCGCUACAUGCAACAGCAUCGUGUGGCUUCACAGAAAUUGCAAGGUACCUGAUCAAGAUGGGGGCUAACAUUGCAGCAGUCAACAAUGAUGGGGACCUUCCCAUAGACAUCUGUGAAGACGAGGAGAUGGAGAAUCUACUACAGGCAGAACUAGACAAACAAGGUAUUGAUGCAGACGAGGCAAGAAAGGAAGAAGAGAACCGGAUGUUAGCCGACGCCAACCAGUGGCUCAACAGUCGCAUCAUCAAAGAGAAGAAACAUGCCAAGACUGGUGCCACAGCUCUCCAUGUGGCUGCUGCCAAGGGAUAUGUAACAGUUCUCAAGGUUCUACUACAGGCGGGUGUAGACAUCAAUGCGGAAGACAAUGACGGGUGGACGCCGCUGCAUGCUGCCGCCCACUGGGCGCAGUGUGAGGCGUGCCAGUUGCUAGUGGAACAGCUCUGUGACAUGGAGAAGAAGAACACAGCAGGUCAGUCUGCUUUGGAUGUAGCUGAUGAGGACAUGAAGAAAUUCCUGGAAGAUCUGAAGAAGAAGCAGGUUCUGUUGCGAUCGAGAGCUGAGGAAAUGAAUGAAGACAUUAUACAGACGAAGGGGCCGCCAAAUAAACGAAGGAGUUCUGUGACGCGUAUGAGUGGAGAUCAAAAGCAGAACGUUCUACACAAAACCUCCGAACAAGAACGUGUGGCGCUUGAGACCAACAAGAUCAUCAAGCGUGACAGUGACAAGAUUGAUAGUUCCGGUAGUGAAGGAGAGGGCAGCACAGAAACAGAACGACAGAAUGAGAUCAACAAGCAGACCUCCCAGACAGACAAGCCUCAGGAGCGAGACCAAACUCCGACUCGUACGGAGGUCGAUAAGAUGCCAAUAAUAGAUGAGGUCUCCGAAACAGAGAAAAUCCAAGAAAAGGAAAAUGUACCAGAAAAGGAUAUAAGUCCGGACAAAGAAAAUAUCCCAGAAACAGAAAACAUAGUGGAAGCAGAAAAAACUGAAACAGAAACACCUUCAGAAGCAGAAAAAUCUUUAGAUACAGAAAAACCUUCAGAUACGGAAGAACCUUCAGAAACGGAAAAACGUUCAGAUACGGAAGAACUUUCACAAAUGGAAAAACCUUCAGAAACAGAAGAACUUUCACAAACGGAAAAACUUUCAGAAAAAGAAAAACCUUCAGAUACAGAAAAACCUUCAGAUACAGAAAAACCUUCAGAAACGGAAAAACUUUCAGAAAAAGAAAUACCUUCAGAUACAGAAAUACCUUCAGAUACAGAAAAUACUUUGGAAACAGAAAAUACUUCGGAAACAGAAACAGAAACAAUCACAGAAAGUGAAAUCAUUCUCCCUGCAACAGAUGAAACCGUAACUGUUAGCAAUGGAGAGUCUGUUGAGAAUAGCACAGAAGAAGAAACACCCAAUUCCGUUAAAGACAGCAAUAAGUCUGUAAAGGAUUCCUCUAACUCUACAAUUAAGGAUACCUCCAUAGUUCCUCCCCCCAAAGAACUUAUUUCAAGGUCAAUCAGUGCACCGUCCAGCCUUCCAACUGAUGAAGAGGGCUUGAAAAUUUCGACCAAUCACAAGUCCCGAGACAAUGACUACUCUGCUUGGAGAGCAGGCCUUCGGAAGACCGGCAGUACUAGCAUGGUGCAUGAAAGAAUGAGCAAGGAAAAUGAAGAUGAUAGGUCGUUACCUAGAUCUGCGUCUAGUCCAAGACUAGCUUUUGAUCAAAGGAUAGAGGACGAUCGUAAUGGUACUCGAAGAUCUUCACAAGGCACUACAGCCGUGUCAUCACCAGACAAGGGAGAUUCUAAAGUAACUGAUAGGCAUAGUCAUACAGGCAGUAUGGACCAGAGUAGGUCCCCCUACCGCAGUCUUUCCUCCUAUAACUCCUCUGGCUUCACGUACCAUUCUCAGUACGAGCCGUAUUAUCGCAGGAUGAACGAUCGUACGAGUCGCAGGGAUGGCCAAGAUUAUCAGGAUAGAAUUAUUUCCAGAACACCGUCCAUUGUGUCCACGGUCACGACAACAACUGGACCUGUUUCCACGACAACGGUUAGCACGACGUCUGUAUCAUCAGCAACCACAACUGUCACUUCACCAACGACCCCCACUAGUACCAAUUCAGUAUUCAGAAGGUCUUACGAACCUCCCAAACGUGAUGAAGAAACAGAAACUCAAAGGAAAGCCAGGGCCAAGCGAGCCAGAGAAACAAGACGAUCAACGCAGGGUGUCUCUUUGGAAGACAUUGAAAAGGCAGAGGAAACACUACGAAACUCCUCAACAGACAAAGACCGAGAAAAACUUCGCUUAUCACAAAAGGAUGUGACGGACAGUGCCUCUACCGAGAGUAGAGACGUGCCUAGAGACUCAGGCAGAGACUCAAAUAGAACUAGUUCUAGUUUGUCUUCCAAAGACACUUCCUCUGAGGAUACUUCGUAUCGACGGAGAAACUUGGAAGAUCGUCACGAAGAUGAUACUAGGAGCAGUUUUCGAAGGUCUCGAGAUCAACCCAGAGAUUUAUCAAGUUCCAGUAGUCAAUAUUCUUCAGAUAACUCUACAUCAGCUUACAUACCUCGCAGUCAGCGCAACGCCCUAUCAACGUCUGACACCAACACUACAACUAGUCUAACAGGCAGUUCCGGUCUAGCACGCACAUCCUCUUAUCGAAGUCGGUUACGUAACGGAGAAGUUUCCUCUCGAGAGGAAGAACAGAAGACUGCCAAGGAAGAACCCAAGAAAGAUGAAAGUAAGAAAGCAGAUCACGAAGAGAAGAAGGAAAGCUCAGCCUUACAGAAGCGGAGGGCGUGGAGAGAAAGGCGCUCCACCGGCAUCGUUACCUACACACCUGAUGAUGAAGAGGAUGAGAAGGGUAAAGAAAAUAAGCCAGAAGAAGAGAAGAAGGAUGAGUAUGGUGUACAUGGUCUGCUAGAUCCAUCCAGAUAUCUACAUUCGACACUAGGAUCCCGGUAUGGUUCAUCUCGCUACAGUUCCUCCACGGACAUGACCCCCACGGAUCGGUACAGGGACAGGCCCAGCUCCUACUCCGAGUACUCCCGGUCAACGCCUUCAGCUUUAGACAGCGAUUACAAGAAGCUGUAUGAAGAUGAAAAGUCUGAGAAUGAGAGGUUACGGAGAGAGCUAGAACAGACGAAGCGAGAGCUUCGGGAUGCAAAGACAGAGUUGGACAAAAUGAUGAGAAAACACACUGACGCUGCACGCGCACAGCUGAGACCAACGACAAGAGGGAAAAGAGAGCAUUGGAGAGAAAAGUGUCAGAGUUGGAGGAAGAACUCAAGCUUAUGGACAAACUAAAAGCUGAUAAUGCAAAACUUAAGGAUGAAAAUAGGGCCUUGACGCGAGUCGUUUCCAAACUGUCCAAAUAGAAAAUGGACAGCCUUAAGAACGAUAACCUUCGCCUCCGAGAGGAAAACGGAGCCUUAAUCCGUGUCAUAAGCAAACUAUCAAAAUAGUGCUGUU